GAGACAGCAGUAGCCGCGGGAAUACGGAGGGUGCAAGCGUUAAUCGGAAUUACUGGGCGUAAAGCGCACGCAGGCGGUCUGACAAGUCAGAUGUGAAAUCCCCGGGCUUAACCUGGGAACUGCAUUUGAAACUGUCAGGCUGGAGUCUUGUAGAGGGGGGUAGAAUUCCAGGUGUAGCGGUGAAAUGCGUAGAGAUCUGGAGGAAUACCGGUGGCGAAGGCGGCCCCCUGGACAAAGACUGACGCUCAGGUGCGAAAGCGUGGGGAGCAAACAGGAUUAGAUACCCCGGUAGUCCCUGUCUCUUAUAC
rnacentral:rRNA from 1 species